GGAAACGACUGCUAAUACCCAAUAGGCCGAAAGGUGAAAGAUUUAUUGCCUGGAGAGGAGCUCGCGUCUGAUUAGCUAGUUGGCAGGGUAAGAGCCUACCAAGGCAGCGAUCAGUAGCUGGUCUGAGAGGAUGAGCAGCCACACUGGGACUGAGACACGGCCCAGACUCCUACGGGAGGCAGCAGUGGGGAAUUUUCCGCAAUGGGCGAAAGCCUGACGGAGCAAGACCGCGUGAGGGAGGAAGGCCUUUGGGUUGUAAACCUCUUUUCUCAGGGAAGAAGCAAGUGACGGUACCUGAGGAAUCAGCAUCGGCUAACUCCGUGCCAGCAGCCGCGGUAAUACGGAGGAUGCAAGCGUUAUCCGGAAUCAUUGGGCGUAAAGCGUCCGCAGGUGGCCACUCAAGUCUGCUGUCAAAGACCGGGGCUCAACUCUGGAAAGGCAGUGGAAACUGAGGGGCUAGAGUGCGGUAGGGGUAGAGGGAAUUCCCAGUGUAGCGGUGAAAUGCGUAGAGAUUGGGAAGAACACCGGUGGCGAAAGCGCUCUACUGGGCCGCAACUGACACUCAGGGACGAAAGCUAGGGGAGCGAAAGGGAUUAGAUACCC
rnacentral:rRNA from 1 species